GACAUACUGGAUCUUUCUGGGUAUCAUCAAACUUCUCCAUCCAAGAAUAAGGGACAGCAGCAUCUCUUUGACAUCCAUAGCCCAUUUCUGCUUUGCCAAUAUCACUUGUGCAUCUGGGGCCACCAAUGCAUCCUAUCCUAGCAAGUAUCAAUGGGAAUAAAGAAGAAACUUAGAAAAUGACAAAAUUCAAGAAGAGCUGAAGCUCUGGAGCUAGCUUUGGUGGAGAAAGAAUGAUGGGGGAUGUUGGACUAAGCGAGAAAUGCAUAAGAAGCUGCUGAGUUUAACACAAAGCCAUAUAGAGGUCAUUUCUAUAGAGCACAAUAAAUACCAUUAUGUGUUGGACGGAUGGAUGGAUCACUUUUCUCCCCUUGCAAGGUUAAAGGCCACGGGAAAGUGAUUGGAGCAGGCUUUCAUCAGACCCCAGAAAGCUGGGUUUGGAAGGAGCUCCCUCGGUCACCACAAGCUACAGGAGGGUGGACAUCGAGGGCUGGUUGUGAAGGAGUGUCUUCCAUGAGGACACCCCUAGGCCACCGCAGACCCCCUCCCAGCCCUUCUCCACCACAGCUGCUCCCUGACGGCCAGGUGAGAAAUUGGCAGGGACUCCAAGCUGCUCAUCAAUUUCAAGAAACAUUCACUUCUGCGGCAUAUACUAGCCCAGCCUUCUGUCCAGUCACGCAAAGCCAUCUAAUCUAAUGAGAUGCCUAAUAAGAACCACCCUAGAGGGUAAAAGACACUCAACACCUUUAGGUUCCACGGUCCUUUAUUCAAAUUAUUGUUGUUCCCACGACUGUGCUUUAUAACCAUGAGGCGAUCCUGAGAGGGGACAUAGGGACCCCCCCUUUGCAAAUGACGCAACUGAGGCCCUGUAAGAGUAGUCAGUGCAAACUCAUUCACAUCAAGUGGCUGAACCCAGAUCUCAGACUCAACAGCUUUACAUCUUUCCUAUUUAACCAAUUAUUCUAUACCUUUUCCUGCAUCAGAUGGGAGUCUAUAAAGGGCUAUCGAUUAGACGCUUUUAUCUCAUUUAAAUAGGGUUUACAUAUUACAUAGAAAUCUCUAUGAUCAUACCUCCCCCACCCAAACUUUGUGCCUUUCAUUUUGGAAUAAUGUCAUGGGGUACAGAAGUUCUCAGUUCAUGUUCUAGGUAAAUGAAGCGAGAUGCCUCUGUUCAUUACCAUAAAAAAAGUGUCUAAAAAUUCUGCCUUCACAUGCUAUUCAUAAACACACCCAGGACUGGUUGGCUGCACUUUUAUCAGCAACAAAAUAAUCAGCUCUUGGAAAGGAAGCUCAGUGCUUGGAACAAGUACUGGCUCAAGCAAACACAUACUUCAGACUAACUCCUCUCAGUGUCAUGAGCUGCCAGCCAAAGGAGCAGUAGUACACAGAGGUCCCAGGCUCAGGCCGCAGCCAGGAGUCUGGGAGGAGGAUCAAACACCCUGAGCAUCUGGCUCUGAUACAUAUGCCAAGAAAACUCUCUCCAGACUCCAAAGACUAUUCCCAUGACUUUGCUUUGUCUGGAAAUUCCAUUGCUUGAAUAGGGCAGAUUCAUUCUCUUCGUUUUGAGGACCCCUCUUGCUCAGGCAGCCAAAGCAGGCUGUUUAACAGCUGCUAUCACCAUGUUCAGGGCCAGGACCUGAGAGGCACAAGCUCAGGCAGGUUGCAAACGAGAGUCAGUCUUCAUUGGUUUUCGAUGAGCCUGGAAAUGCAGGCUUGGCUGAUGAGAGAUGACAAGAACAGAGAACCACCUUUCUAUCUCAUUAAAACUCUGAAUAGAGAACCUUUCUAUCUCAUUAAAAUCCUGAAUAGAGAACCUUUCUAUCUCAUUAAAACCCUGAUUGUCCCUAGGAAGAGCAGUACGACAUGACAGGUGUCCUACAGAAUCUUGAAGAACAACGACUGUGGCCACUGCUGCCCAGUUUCCAGAAUGACCUGUUCCCUGGUUUGAUAUUGAUCAUCAAUCCCUUAACUAACCCAUAAUUGCAUUCAGAAUUUCAAUUCUUUGACAAUAGGUGUUUAAAAGUGUGAGUUAAGAGGUCCCUCUGGGCAUGACUGAAAUACAAAUUCUGCCUGGACACAGGAGGAUAGAUUAGAUGGCCUCUCCCACUUCCUAUUAGAUUUUGCCCUGUGCUGCUGGUGUAGGUUGGACCCUAUAAAAUUGCUGAUAUUUCAAUGCUUUUAAUCUAUAAAAUUGGCAAAUCCAUAAGGUUCAGCCUAAUACAGCCCUGAAUUUGGUAAAUAGAUGGGUUUAACAAACAGCCAUUGCGUGAAUCACAGCAAAUUGGGGAACAGCAGAGCUUGGGACAUUAUUUCCAGUAGAAAAAUGUGUUAUAUAAUUUCAUGAUUGUAUUAUGUAACAAGUACCUAAUUUUCUUUUGCCUCUAAAAUACAAAGCAUAACUUUUUUAUUAUUCAUGCUCAGAGAAAAAAUAGUUAUUUAAAAUAGCACAAAGUAUUACCCAAACCAUUAAACCUUUUGCACAGCCACUGCCAAUUUAGGGAUGAAGAUGAGGUCUAAAAGACAGAUGCAAAGAGACUGGGGAGUAUCAAGUCAACAAAACUCUAGAUGCCUGAACAGUAAGAAAAAAUAAUGUUGCUGGUAGCAAAGAAAUGAACCAAUCUUGUCAUAUUCUCACUGUUUCUUCUUGCAGCCCAUCAUCCAAGGAAAACAGCCCAGGCAGUGGAAAAUUACAGUUUUCCAAUAAGAGAGACCAACUGCAGCUUUGUAGUUUUCAUUUCAGAAUGAGUACACAUGUUAUGUCAGAAGAGAAACCCUGGCAGGAUCUAGAAGUCACCCGAUGCCAGUGAGAGGAGGUGAUGACCCGACAAAGCUAUGAGCGUUAGAGGGGCUCCGAGCCUGUGGUUGCCUCCACAUAUCGCAGUAAUUGGAGUGCAAGGCAGGACAGCAGCAGGUCAAGGUCAGCCAGAGGUCAUGGCACCUCUGCUGAUGGGUUCCUUAAUGGUCCAGAUAAUGCAUGCUUCGGGGAGAGAGUGGGGACAACAACAUAAAGAGAUGGCAAAGGGGACCCAAAACUGGCUCACAGCUUGUUCAUGAAAUCCUGGGGUAAAACAACGUUAACCCCUUCCUUGUUGGGGCUGUAACAUGUCCUGGAUCCCUUGCACUGAAGAGCUUCCAGGCUGAAGAAAUGUUAUGUGGAAAAGUGAAGGCUGAGUGCAGUGGCUCACGCCUGUAAUCCCAGCACUUUGGGAGGCCAAGGCGGGUGGAUCACCUGAGGUCGGGAGUUCGAGACCAGCCUGGCCAACAUGGUGAAACCCUGUCUCUAUUAAAAAAACUCAAAAAUUAGCCAGGCAGGGUGGCACAUGCCUGUAAUCCCAAGUGCUUGGGAGGCUGAGGCAGGAGAAUGGCUUGAACCCAGGAGGCAGAGGUGGCAGUGAGCCAAGAUCAUACCAUUGCACUCCAACCUGGGUGACAAGAGUGAAACUCUGUCUCAAAAAAACAAACAAACAACAACAACAACAACAACAACAACAAAACAGAAGUAGUGAAGCACUGUUUAUGCAGUCCAGUUGUAGCAUCCAAGAUGCAGCAGCCAGUGCUGAGGCUAAAAUUACUCUGAGUUUUAAAGAAUCAGGUUACACAUUUGCAGCAGUUUCCUGACCUGCUCCUGUAGGGCCAGAGCCCUCAUGAACCUGUGUUUCUGGAACUGCAGAAAGCAACAAAUGGCAGAGGGCCCAUGAGUCCAACACAGGCUGUUGGUUAAAUGUUUAGGAUUGUCAAAAUGCAAAAAGCCAGUUCCGCAGAGGUUUAGGCCCAGGGAGGUCAGUGGAAAUUAUAAAUCUGUGAUGGCCAGAGAAUGCCUGAAAUUUUCAAGUAUGAUUCAUUGUAUGACAAUGAAAUUCAGAAGCCAACCACGGUAGAGGCAGGGGCUGGUAGAGAUUUGGAUCUACACUGGUAUGGUGGAGAAAGAACCAUGGGUAAGUCAGGAAGCUUGCACUCUAUUUCUGGCUCUGCAUGACCUUCAGUUUCUUCAUCUAAAAAUUAGAAUAAUAGGAAUUACUUGUGGAUAAAACAUGCUCAUGUAUAGGACAAGCCUUCUGAAGACCUUUUUUUUUUUUUUUUUUUUUGAGAUGGAAUUGCACUCUUGUCACCCAGGCUGGAGUGUAAUGGUACAAUCUUGGCUCACUCAACCUCUUUCUCCUGGGUUCAAGCGAUUCUCCUGCCUCAGCCCCCCUGGGAUUACAGGUGCUCGCCACCAUAUCCAGCCAAUUUUUGUGUUUUUUUAGUAGACAUGGGGUUUCACCAUGUUGCCCAGGCUGGUCUCAAACUCCUGACCUCAAGUGAUCCACCUGCCUUGGCCUCUCAAAGUGCUGGGAUUAUAUACAGAAACCACCGCAC
rnacentral:lncRNA from 1 species